rnacentral:rRNA from 1 species
AUUGAACGCUGGCGGCAGGCCUAACACAUGCAAGUCGAACGAGUGGCGGACGGGUGAGUAAUGUCUGGGAAACUGCCUGGUGGAGGGGGAUAACUACUGGAAAGGGUAGCUAAUACCGCAUACCAUCAGAUGUGCCCAGAUGGGAUUAGCUUGUUGGUGGGGUAACGGCUCACCAAGGCGACGAUCCCUCGCUGGUCUGAGAGGAUGACCAGCCACACUGGAACUGAGACACGGCCCAGACUCCUACGGGAGGCAGCAGUGGGGAAUAUUGCACAAUGGGGGCAAUCCUGAUGCAGCCAUGCCGCGUGUAUGAUGAAGGCCUUCGGGUUGUAAAGUACUUUCAGCGGGGAGGCGUUACCUGCAGAAGAAGCACCGGCUAACUCCGUGCCAGCAGCCGCGGUAAUAC